CUAGAGUGCUGUCUUGGAAGAGAGGGUUUGGGGCCUGAUUACCUGAUGUGUUAGCCCAGGGGCCUCUGGGAAUGGUCACGGAAGGGCCUCUCUUUCUGUUUGACUCAAAUCCCAGUGAUUUUUUUGAUCUCUAGUAGAGAAGCUUUGUGAUCGUGAGACUGCCCGGGUGGGGGUUGGGGGUGGGGGUUUGGGCUAUGAACCCGCCCCAAGCUUCCUCCUCUUUUGGGAGACCUCUUCUUUCCUGACUUAAUAUCAAUAACAAUAGAAGCCCUAAGUGCCUAGCUUGGAUCUCUUACCAGAAAAGUCUGAAUUUCUCCCUUUAAGGUUCUUGGAGGCCAAGCUUGAGACCGCUUGAGUGGAGCAACCUGUUAAGUUUUGGUCCUUACCCUGAGCCCCAGGAGUACCCAGGACAAGGACUUCUCCACUUUUAGAUUCUUAUUCUGAGUUAUCUACUGACCAAUUGAGGACAGAGAGCAGAAAAGAGAGAAGAUGCCUGAGAGUCUCCUUGUACUGAGAAGCUUAAAGAGAUGGGAAUGAUGAAGUCUCACGCUCUGAGGCAGUUGAGCCACCACUGAGCCACACCCCCAGGUACCAAGGCUUUCAUAACCUUUGCCUGGAGGCCAUGGAAGUGUAAGGAAGAACAAGACACAGUUGUCCCCUGCAGUGGAGGAAAGAGAUGGACUCUCACAGAGCAGACACAGGAGGCCCAGGAAGCUCCUUGUGAUAAAACCAAGACCUUAAGACCAAAGAAGAAGAGAUGCUUUCUACAAGUACAGAGUCAGGAAGGGGGUUCAGUGAGGGUCUGAUUUACAGUAGGUGCUCAAUAAACAUCUGUAGAAUACAGUGAAUGUAAUGUGU
rnacentral:lncRNA from 1 species